ensembl:lncRNA
GGGGUUAUCACUAGAUUUACACGACAUGCCUACCACUUUGAAGAUGCAAAAUAUUUUUCUUUGUAAAACAAACAAGAAAUAAGACAAAAAAACAGAAAUCAUAACGAUUCAUUCCCCCCCAAAAGCGAGUCAAUACUUUGAAGAGCCACCUUUUGCAGCAGUUACAGCUGCAAGUCUCUUGGAGUAUGUCUCUAUAAGCUUGGCACAUCUAGCCACUGGGAUCUUUGCCCAUUCUUCAAGGUAAAACUGCUCCAGCUCCUUCAAGUUGGAUGGGUUCCGCAAUAUUUAAGUCAUACCACAGCUUCUCAAUUGGAUUGAUGUCUGGGCUUUGACGAGGCCAUUCCAAGACAUUUAAAUGUUUCCCCUUAAACCACUCGAGCGUUGCUUUAGCAGUAUGCUUAGGGUCAUUGUCCUGCUGGAAGGUGAACCUCCGUCCCAAUCUCAAAUCUCUGGAAGACUGAAACAGGUUUCCCUCAAGAAUUUCCCUGUAUUUAGAGCCAUCCAUCAUUCCUUCAAUUCUGACCAGUUUCCCAGUCCCUGCCGAUUAAAAACAUCCCCACAGCAUGAUGAUGCCACCACCAUGCUUCACUGUAGGGAGGAUGUUCUCGGGGUGAUGAGAGGUGUUGGGUUUACGCCAGACAUAGCGUUUUCAUUGAUGGCCAAAAAGCUAAAUUUUAGUCUCAUCUGACCAGACUACCUUCUUCCAUAUGUUUGGGGAGUCUCCCACGAGCCUUUUGGCGAACCAAACUUAUUUGCUUAUUUUUUUCUUUAGGCAAUAGCUUUUUUCUGGCCACUCUUCCGUAAAGCCCAGCUUUGUGGAGUGUACGGCUUAAAGUGGUCUUAUGGACAAAUACUCCAAUCUCCACUGUGGAGCUUUGCAUUUCAUUCAGGGUUAUCUUUGGUUUCUUUGUUGCCUCUCUGAUUAAUGCCCUCCUUGCCUAGUCUGUGAGUUUUGGUGGGCGGCCCUCUCUAGGCAGGUUUGUUGUGGAGCCAUAAUCUUUCAAUUUUUUAAUAAUGGAUUUAAUAGUGCUCUGUGGGAUGCUCAAAGUUUCAGAUAUUUUUUUAUAACCCAACCCUAAUCUGUACUUCUCCACAACUUUGUCCCUGACUUGUUUGGAGAGCUCCUUGGUCUUCAUGGUGUCGCUUGCUUUGUGGUGCCCAUUGCUUAGUGGUGUUGCAGACUCUGAGGCCUUUCAGAACAGAGAGCAGGAGAGGGCUGCCGUAGCAGAGCGCUGCCUGGUGAGGCUGGACCUCCUCCUGUAUCCAUCCCUGGUCCCUCGGCUGGCCGGCGCUCCAGCAACCUGGCCCAGCUCAAUGAAGAUGACCUAUGAACCGUGACCGAUAGGAGGAAAACUGAGAGGUCAUGGACCUCCACAGCUAGUGCAGAGAGAAGCAGGGGGACCUCAUGUAGGCCUAACGUCUGUUGAUGCUAUUGUAACUUUAGGGAACUUUUGAAGAUGGAUGGAUGACUCUCUUUAUGGAGCAAGGACUAGAUGGAGGCUGCUUUUUCAGACUGUUACAGGAUGGUUCACUGGCAUCAUGAGAAAAAUAUCCCAGGAUUCUAAUGGAAUAUACAGUAUGGGCUGAAAUGAUAAACAGUCAUUAGAUCAUUGAUCAUGUGAUGCCAGGUUGAAGACGUGUAGCAGCCAGACAGAUGAUGCGAUGGCUGACUGUAUGAAGAAAACUCUAUGGACAUCAGGUAUUAUGGGGACUGAUGACUUUGCUUGUUUUAUUGUUAGAGAAUUUCUAUACAGUAUCUAUUGUACUGUCUUUCUACAGGCCAGGGAUUUCUUCAUAUGGAAAUGCCAUGGGGGGGUUACUGGAGAAGUGUGUACAUACUGCAUGUCUGUAAAAUGCGUUUGUGCGUGUGUACAUGAUAGGCGGUUGCUCAUCUUGUGCCAACAUGCAGAUUAAAGAACUCCACCCUGAAGAGAAAAGGAGUGUAGAUCUGAAUGACUCUUUCUCUCAGCUCUCUCACACUGCUGGAUUCUUCUAUCCCUCCUUUAUAAAGACAACUAUUUGUAUUUUCAGGCCAUUGUUGAAACAUGUCAUCAUUUCUCCACUCAACAGGGCCUACAGUACACUAUGUUGCUGUAGUAGACAUUGAGGAGAGAGGGGAUGCCAGCUAGAUUAAUAGAUUUGAUCUGUACAUAUGUAGAAGUUUGGAUUCAUCUGUUAUAGAAAAUAGCUUUUCUGCUCCUACCGCAGUGUUUCAAAAAAGACGAGAAUGAGAGGACUCCCAUGUUCUCUUUUUCUGUUUGACCGAAGCUGGCUCUUGUUUGAUCUGCAUAUUCCAUAAUAUAAAGGGGUGAGGGAGCCCCCUGGAGGCACUCUGCAGGAGUGGCAUCACUCAGACUCAGUCUUUCCUCAGAUUCAGAUACAGAUGGAUUCCUAGGUAAGUUCUCAAUUACAUACUCCUCACAUCCUCUCUCCUCAAUUGGAGGAAAUGGUCAGAGGGAAGGGACCUCUGGCUUUCAAAUCCAAUUCGUUUUGAGAAGGAGAAGAAGAGAGAGGACGAAAGGAGUAUGUAAUUGAGGUCUUCCCCUUGUGUCCUUUGCUCCCAUCCUUUCGCUAAACGUCAGAGAGAAAGGGGAGGAUUAUAAGAGAUGAGGAGAGGAUGGGAGGAGAGGAAGGAAUCGAGCCAGGACUAUGAAGAGGUGGCCAGAGAAAUGACCAUACCAAUGCUUGGUGAUAGAGACCAACUGAUUUUUCAAAUGUAUAUUUUCUUGACGUCCUCUAGGUACGUCCUAGGAGACAUUCAUGGGUUGUGUUGAAAUAUGAAACAAGAUGUCACACAGUCGUCUGUCAGUUAAGUCCAGUGUUGAUGUGCCACAGCUUUCUGCUGUAUUUAUCAUCUGGCUUUUGCUAAUGCACACUACUACACACCAUACUGUUGGCUCGGGCUUACAUCUCUUCUUCUAGAUAAAGGAGGACAGUUUAGAGACCGCUAACUACUUGGGUUAUUGUGUCUGUUGACAUUAUGGAUAAAAAGUUCUGCAUCCUCUGUCCACAUCAAAAUGAGAUGUGUUUCAAAACGGACGUUUUUGAGACAUCAAAUACUUCAGUUCGUAUUGCCACUACAAUAGUAUUACCAACUGUUGUGUUUAACACAUCAAAUACAUGUAGUUGUGAUGUUGUGUAUUUCAACGCCCAACCUUUCCUCCUAUUAAUCAAAGCAAAUGACUGUAAACAGAGACGAUAAGAGAAGAGUCUGACAUCUAGCAUGUCCGCUUUUGGUUAAUUCCUCUCUAUGACCAGUAAGGCUUCCACAUCCAGAUAGUAGCCUAACAAGACCUCUGCACCAAAGAUCAAUGGCUUCGAGUUGCAAUGGCACCUCCAGCUAAAUCUAUUUCAAAUAUCAGCACGGAGGAGAGCCCUACCGUGACUGUUUCAAUUCAGAACACCAUCUCAUACAAACCCAGGGUACUCAGUGACUACUGGGUGCCGUUUGUAAAGUUAAACAGUGAAGACUGUCAUAUUUCAAUGGCAAUUUUUGAUCUAGCAUUUUGUGCAUGUGACUUAAAUAUGAAGGAAUACCAGUCCUGAAAUGAAUAUAGACUAAAGAGAGGAAAUAUGGGUUAUAAAGAUGACAUAUUUAAUGGAAUAGAAUCUGUUGUAUUAUAUUAAAUAAAGUGAACUUUUUAAUUAAGAAUGGCCUAUUUUUAUGUAUUUUCUGAAGGUACAUCCCUCUAACAUUGAGAUACUCCUGAUAUAUUUCCAUAUAUAUUCAGAUUAUUAAUACAUGGGUAUUAC